rnacentral:rRNA from 1 species
UACGAGGGGGGCAAGCGUUGUUCGGAAUUAUUGGGCGUAAAGGGCGCGUAGGCGGUUUGACAAGUCUGAUGUGAAAUCUAUGGGCUCAACUCAUAGUCUGCAUUAGAAACUGUCGGGCUUGAGUAUGGGAGAGGUGAGUGGAAUUUCCGGUGUAGCGGUGAAAUGCGUAGAGUAUCGGAAAGGAACACCUGUGGCGAAAGCGGCUCACUGGACCAUAACUGACGCUG